ACAGCAAUGAUGAAAUUCCACUCCGUUGGUCCGUGUUUCUGAACCACAUGAUUUUCCUGGAUGUUCUGAUGCUGU
rnacentral:snoRNA from 1 species